rnacentral:rRNA from 1 species
AAUCGCGAAUCAGAAUGUCGCGGUGAAUACGUUCCCGGGCCUUGUACACACCGCCCGUCACACCAUGAGAGUCGAUAACACCCGAAGCCUGUGAGCUAACCUUAGGGAGGCAGCAGUCGAAGGUGGGGUUGAUGAUUAGGGGUGAAGUCGUAACAAGGUAUC